UACAGAGGUCCCGAGCGUUGUUCGGAUUCAUUGGGCGUAAAGCGCACGUAGGCGGAUUUGUAAGUCAGGGGUGAAAUCCCGGGGCUCAACCCCGGAACUGCCUUUGAUACUGCGAAUCUCGAGUCCGGAAGAGGUGAGUGGAAUUCCUAGUGUAGAGGUGAAAUUCGUAGAUAUUAGGAAGAACACCAGUGGCGAAGGCGGCUCACUGGUCCGGUACUGACGCUGAGGUGCGAAAGCGUGGGGAGCAAACAGG
rnacentral:rRNA from 1 species